UACGUAGGGACCGAGCGUUAUCCGGAUUCAUUGGGCGUAAAGAGCUCGUAGGCGGCUAUUCAAGUCGAACGUGAAAUCUCGGGGCUCAACUCCGAGCCUGCGUUCGAUACUGGGUAGCUAGAGUCUGGUAGGGGGAUCUGGAAUUCCUGGUGUAGCGGUGGAAUGCGCAGAUAUCAGGAGGAACACCGGUGGCGAAGGCGGGAUCCUGGGCCAGUACUGACGCUGAUGCGCGAAAGCGUGGGGAGCAAACGGG
rnacentral:rRNA from 1 species